rfam:Arabis alpina cultivar Pajares chromosome 2, whole genome shotgun sequence.
UGAGCUGUGAUGAGAAAGCUAGUAUGUAAGAAGAAAUAUUGUGCUCUGUAGUUUUGUUUAGAGGUUAAGUUGGGUUUAUAAGCUAA